rnacentral:rRNA from 1 species
UUCCGGAGACCGCGCCUCCUCUUAACUGAGCGGGCGUGGGAGACGGAUCGUUUACUUUGAAAAAAUCAGAGUGUUUCAAGCAGGCAGCUCGCUCUUGCAUGGAUUAGCAUGGGAUAAUGAAAUAGGACUCUGGUGCUAUUUUGUUGGUUUCGAACACCGGAGUAAUGGUCAACAGGGACAGUCAGGGGCACUCGUAUUCCGCCGAGAGAGGUGAAAUUCUCAGACCAGCGGAAGACGAACCACUGCGAAAGCAUUUGCCAGGGAUGUUUUCACUGAUCAAGAACGAAAGUUAGGGGAUCGAAGACGAUCAGAUACCGUCGUAGUCUUAACCAUAAACCAUGCCGACUAGGGAUUGGAGGCUGUUCCUUUAGUGACUCCUUCAGCACCUUUCGGGAAACUAAAAGUCUU